GCGGGAGUAGUUCAGUGGUAGAACACCACCUUGCCAAGGUGGGGGUCGCGAGUUCGAACCUCGUCUCCCGCUCAA
rnacentral:tRNA from 1 species